CAUUUACUCCCUCCGUCCGGGAAUACUUGUCCUAGAAACGAAUAAAAUGAAUGUAUCUAUAAUUACAAUAAGUCUAGAUACAACCAUUUCAAGGACAAGUAUUUUCGGGCGGAGGGAGUACAUC
rfam:Triticum aestivum genome assembly, contig: Triticum_aestivum_CS42_TGACv1_scaffold_577055_7BL